GUCAAGAUGGGGUUUACAUUUCCCUUCUACAUGUGAUUCAUCACAAGAUUCGAUCAUUUUGUUUGCAAACUCUUUCUCUCAGGCAUUGAAGUUGUCGCGAGGUCACGAGGCGAUACAAUCCUCAGGCCCCUGGAGCUGAGACCGCUGUGGCUAUAAAGGUCAACGCCUCCCUCUUGUGUCAGCUGUUUGGACUCUCAUUCUAUGGCACCCGUUUACUACAGAGAUUUAUUGGUGGGUAAGCGAUGUAACGCUUAAUUUUCUCCAAAUCUGUUCCAGUGAAGAAAUCUCUUCUACAUCUGGAUGACCACAAUGAAAGCAAGUAAUGCAUCUUUGGACCGACAUCAGUAAAUCAUGACAUGAUUCCAGGUAAACCAUCCCUUUAAAGCAGGGGUCACCAGACUCGGGCCUGGAGGGUCACUGUCCUGCAGAGUUUUGCUCCAACCAUGAUAAACACACCUGAACCAGCUAAUCAAGGUCUUACUAGGUAUACAUGAAACUUCCAGGCAGAUGUGUUGGAGCUAAACUCUGCAGGAGAUCCUUGUUUUAGAGUUUAAAAUCCACUUUGUUAAAUUUAGUAUGGAAAUAUGUGAAAAGACGUGCGUAUUGAAACCUUUUGAUUGAUUUAAAAUAUGGUUAGGGCUUUAUUAAAAGGACUUGUUUGUACAGUCGGUCACUAGAUGGCGCCAAUUAAUUUAUUUUCAUAUUAGUUUAUCGUUUGACGUAGGAAGUCCCUUCUGCUUUUAAUGUCUUUUGAAAAUAACUGUUGGUUAUCAAUAUGAUUUCUUUCCACAGUAAAA